rnacentral:lncRNA from 1 species
UGUCUCCAGCCCUUUGCAGAAGGCUGAAGGCGAGGUUCCACAUUGGGCUCCUAGCUUGCCAGUAAGCAUCCACCGUAUUUCACAGGGCUCUGCUUGGGAGGGCUCCAUGGCUGUGCCGUCAGAGAGGUUCCUUCAGAGAGAAGAGGAAUAGGAAGGAGAGGAGGCCAUAACGAGAAGAGGAGAGGUUAGGACAGGAGAAGCAGAUGGAUCUGCCACCACACAUAAUGUCCCUUCUGUCGUGGGCUGUGCUGUGACCGCCCCAUGGCAGCGGCCAGAUGGAGGUGGAAUGGGACCAAUGGGAUCAAUGCGGUGCUGCCUACAAUCUUCUCCCUGCAUCACCUCAGAUCCACAGACACAGAACCACAAAGGCAGUUUCCUCUCUGAGUGCUUGUCUACCUGGCUACGUCUGCGUCUGACCUGUCUGGAUCUAUGAAAUAUCAAAGCUUGUGUCAGGACGCGUGAAUAGGGAGAGAGAGGCACCAUUAAUGAUUAACUGUUCUAAAAGCCUAUCAGGCAGCCAUGUGACAUGCUCGCAGCAUGUUUUGAGCAGAUUGGGGGAAGCUAGUGAGCAAACACAGGUGCUUUGGACUGGAGUCGCCGACGCUGUCAGGGACAACCACAAACAAGAGCAGCACUGCCUAGCUAAAUGAGAGCCCACCCACUUUACUUACUCCCUGACUAGCUUAGCUUAGUCACUGACUGCAGUGGCUGGAGAGCCUCACCAGAGACCAAGUCCAAUGUCCCCCCAGUGUUCCACAACCUUUCACACAAACAAACAAAUAAAACGCGAGGAUUGGAGUCGCUGUGGUCUCAAGCAUAGGGGAAAGCAAACAAAUGAAUUGUGUUCCAGUUCUCACUUUCUAAAACAAACCAAAUGUGGGUUGAACACUUGUUCUUGAGAAGCCUAGUGGAGGCGAUGAGAGAUAUUCAGAAAUAUGCAGGAUGACAAACUGAUUGUCAGGAAAUGAAGUGGUUGAUUUGAUUGUUUCAUUAAUGUUUCAUGACAGGUGGAUGACGAAUAGAUCAUAAAGACACAAAAGCCUAUUUUCUGUCAACAAAGUAGACUAUUUUGUUGUCCUGAUUUUAUUUCGAUUUUUCUGGAGUUGUUUUCAAGGUUUUAUAAACACGGUCUAGGUCCAGGCACUUAACCAUUUUCUCCUCAACAACGUCUGUCCCUUUGUAAAACGACUGAGAGCGUUCUGUAGCACAACUUUGAUAACACAAUCAGAUGAUAUGAUGGCGUUAACUGAACACGGCUUUCCGGCAGCGAGAUAAAUGAACAGCACGAUAACGUUAACAAAAGCCUAGCUCUGAUUGGUAGGUCUAUGAUUGGAAAACAGGCAGCACGGAAAGUCUACACAAUAAGGGCAAUUCAUUAGAUUUGUUAUUUUCUACAUGACCUGGGUCAGACGGACACCUUUUGUAUCAGUCAAAUAUUUAUUUGUGUGUUUUACAGGUCUUUCGUUUCAUACCCAGCAAUUACAGUGAGCCUGUAAAGCAGAGCGAGACAGAGAGAGAGAAGCUGAGACAGAACAAGAGGGAGAAAAAGACAUAGAGAGAGAAGCUGAGAGAGAACGAGCGGGAGAGAGAGACAGAGAGAGAGAAGCAGAGAGAGAACAAGGGGGGAGGGGGUAGAAACAGGGAAUGGACUCAGGGGGUAUGCUAAUUUGGUAUAGAGCAGACCUAACUCACUCUAUUAAAUUAAUCAAAACAGGAACAUUUUACAUUUGUCUAGAACUUCAAAAGGAAAUUAUCUUCACAGAGAAAAAUGUCCUCCAGUGUGCUACCUAUAUCCCCCACUAGAAUCCCCAUACUUUAAUGAAGACAGCUUCUCCAACCUGUAGGGGGAAAUCAAUCAUUUCCAGGCCCAGGGACAUGUACUAGUCUGUGACGACCUAAAUGCCAGAACUGGACAAGAACCUGACACCCUCAGCACACAGGGGGACAAACACCUACCUGGAUGAGACAGCAUUCCCUCCUUUCCCUACCCGCUGGGUAUGUACAUAGUCAAUGGUAGGCUUCGAGGGGACUCCUAAGGUAGGAACACCUAUAGCUCAUCUCUUGGCAGUAGUACUGUAGACUACUUUAUCACUGACAUCAACCCAGUGUCACUCAGAGCGUUCACAGUCAGCCCACUGACACCCCUAUCAGAUCACAGCAAAAUCACAGUCUACUUGAACAGAGCACUACUCUAUCAUGAGGAAUCAGCCAAAGGAACUGAAUAAUAUUAAGAAAUGCUAUAGAUGGAAGGAAAGUAGUGUGGAAACCUACCAAAAAACUAUUAGGCAACAACAAAUUCAAUCCUUUUUAGACAACUUCCUGGACAAAACGUUUCAUUGUAAUAGUGAAGGUGUAAACUUGGCAGUAGAAAACCUAAACAGUAUAUUUUACCUCUUAGCUUCCCUAUCAAAUCUAAAAAUGUCAAACAGAAAACCCGAAGAAAAUUAACAACAAUGACAAAUGGUUUGAUGAAGAAUGCAAAAACUUAAGAAAGAAAUCAAGAAACCUAUCGAACCAAAAACAUAGAGACCCAGAAAACCUAAGCCUAUGCCUUCACUAUGGUGAAUCACAAAAAUAAUACAGAAAUACACUACGGAUAAAAGAAGGAACAGCACGUCAGAAAUCAGCUCAAUGUAAUCCAUAGACUCUAACCACUUCUGGGAAAAUUGGAAAACACUAAACAAACAGCACAGGAAAAAAAAAAAAAAAAAAUGUAUGAAAUUGUAUGAAAUGUAUGCAUUCACUACUGUAAGUCGCUCUGGAUAAGAGCGUCUGCUAAAUGACUAAAAUGUAAAAUGUAACAACAUGAAGAGUUAUCUAUUCAAAAUGGAGAUGUAUGGGUAAACCACUUCUCCAGUCUUUUUGGCUCUAUAACAAAGAACAAACAGCAAAAACAUAUACAUGAUCAAAUACAAAUCUUAGAAUCAACUAUUAAAGACUACCAGAACCCACUGGAUUCUCCAACUACAUUGAAUGAACUACAGGACAAAAUACAAACCCUCCAACCCCAAAAGGCCAGUGGUGUUGAUUGUAUCCUCAAUGAAAUGAUAAAAUAUGCAUACCACAAAUUCCAAUUGGCUAUACUUAAACUUUUUAACAUCAUCAUUAGCUCUGGCAUCUUCCCCAAUAUUUGGAACCACAAAAGUGGAGAUAAAUUUGACCCCAAUAACUAUCAUGGGAUAUGAAUCAACAGCAACCUUGGGAAAAUCCUAAGCAUUAUCCUUAACAUCAGACUCGUAUAUUUCCUCAGUGAAAACAAUGUACUGAGCAAAUGCCAAAUUGGCUUUUCACCAAAUUACCGUAUGAUAAAAAACACAUAUUCACACUGCACACCCUAAUUGACAAACAAACAAACCAAAACUAAGGCAAAGUCUUCUCAUGCUUUGUUGAUUUCAAAAAGGCUUUCGACUCCAUUUGGCAUGAGGGUCUGCUAUGCAAAUUGAUGAAAAGUGGUGUUGGGGGAAAAACAUACGACAAUAUAAAAUCCAUGUACACAAACAACAAGUGUGCGGUCAAAAAACUAAUUUCUUUCCACAGAGCUGUGGGGUGAGACAGGGAUGCAGCUUAAGCCCCACCCUCUUCAACAUAUAUAUCAACGAAUUGGCGAGGGCACUAGAACAGUGUGCAGCACCAGCCUCACCCUACUAGAAUCUGAAGUCAAAUGUCUACUGUUUUCUGAUAAUCUGGUGAUUCUGUCCCCAACCAAAGAGGGCCUACAACAGCACCUAGAUCUUCUGCACAGAUUCUGUCAGACCUGGGCCCUGAUAGUAAAUCUCAGUAAGACAAAAAUAAUGUUGUUCCAAAAACAAUCCAGUUGCCUGGACCACAAAGACAAAUUCCAUCUAGACACUGUUGCCCUAAAGCGGUGGUUCCCAAACUUUUUAUAGUCCCGUACCCCUUCAAACAUUGAACCUCCAGCUGCAUAACCCCUCUAGCACCAGGUUCAGAGCACUCUCAAAUGUUGUUUUUGACAUCAUUGUAAGCCUGCCACACACACACUAUACGAUACAUUUAUUAAACAUAAGAAUGAGUGUGAGUUUUUGUCACAACCUGGCUCGUGGGAAGUGACAAAGAGCACUUACAGGACCAGGGCACAAAUAAUAAUAUAAUAAUAAUCAAUAAUGAUGCUCUUUAUUUGACCAUCUUACAUAUAAAACCUUAUUUGUUCAUCAAAAAUGGUGAAUAACUCACCACAGGUUAAUGAGAAGAGUGUGCCUGAAAGGAUGCACAUAACUCUGCAAUGUUGGGUUGUAUUGGAGAGAGUCUCAGUCUUAAAUAAUUUUCCACACACAGUCUGUGCCUGUAUUUAGUUUUCAUGCUAGCGAGGGCCGAGAAUCCACUCUCACAUAGGUAUGUGGUUGCAAAAGGCAUCAGUGUCUUAACAGCAUGAUUUGUCAAGACAGGAUACUCUGAGCGCAGCCCAUUCCAGAACUCUGGCAAUGGCUUCUGAUUACAUUUUCACAGAACCGCUUGUUGCAAUUUCGAUGAAGCUCUCUUGUUCAGAUAUCGGUAAGUGGACUGGAGGCAGGGCAUGAAAGGGAUAACGAAUCCAGUUGUUUGUGUCAUCCGUUUCGGGAAAGUACCUGCGGAAUAGCGAAUCCAACUCCCUAAGGUGCUUUGCUAUAUCACAUUUGACAUUGACCGUAAGCUUGAGUUCAUUUGCUCACAAAAAAUAAUACAAUGAUGGAAAGACCUGUGUGUUGUCCUUGUUAAUGCAGACAGAGAAGAGCUCCAACUUUUUAAUCAUAGCCUCAAUUUUGUCCCGCACAUUGAAUAUAGUUGCAGAGAGUCCCUGAAAUCCUAGAUUCAGAUCAUUCAGGUGAGAAAAAACAUCACCCAGAUCGGCCAGUCGUGUGAGAAACUCGUCAUCAUGCAAACAGUCAGACAAGUGAAAAUGAUGGUCAGUAAAGAAAACUUUAAGCUCAUCUCUCAAUUCAAAAAAACGUGUCAAUACUUUGCCUCUUGAUAACCAGCACACUUCUGUAUGUUGUAUAAGCUUUACAUGGCCGCUGCCCAUAUCAUUGCAAAGUGCAGAAAAUAUACGAUAGUUCAGGGGCCUUGCUUUAACAAAGUUAACCAUUUUCACUGUAGUGUCCAAAAUGUAUUUCAAGCUGUCAGGCAUUCCCUUGGCAGCAAGAGCCUCUCAGUGGAUGCUGCAGUGUACCCAAGUGGCAUCGGGAGCAACUGCUUGCACGCGCGUUACCACUCCACUAUGUCUCCCUGUCAUGGCUUUUGCGCCAUCUGUACAGAUGCCAACAUGAGCAGCAGCUACGUUUGGCUACAUACGGACCGUUAGUGGCAUUCCCGCGAGACAGUAACGGUUAAUGUGAUUGGAUGUUAAUUAUUUGACUAGGCUACCUGUAUUUGACAUUGUGUUGUUAUUUCGCUGAACACUAGAUGGUUGAAUUGUAUUUUUGGCAGUGAAACGAGGCUACUCAGGCAAGAAAAAAACCUCACCCAAAUGUAUAGCCCCGUUGGAAAAUAUAAAUGGACUGUUUCAAAAUGUUAAGAAAUAAAUAUAUAAAAAAAUGUAAAAAGUGAAUCACAUUUUUAUUUGGCGUACCCCUGAUGGCAUUGCGCGUACCCCUGGGGAAUACCUGCUGUAGAGCACACAAAAAAACUAUACAUAUCUCGGCCUAAACAUACCCUCCCUGGCGCUCGAGGGCACCAGGCUACCCUUCUUUACACGCACCUGUCACUAUCAUUACGCGCAGCAGCGCUCAUUGGACUCACCUGGACUCCUUCACGUUGUUGAUUACCCCCUGUAUAUCUGUCUGUUCCUCUGUGGUGUUCCCUGUGUCCCCAUUAAUUGUUGUUAUGUGUUCCUGUCCAGACGCUGUUCCUGUUCCGUUUCAUGUCCGUCAGCUAUUAAACCUUCACUCCCUGUACCUGCUUCUCAUCUCCUGCGUCGUUCCUUACACGCCACAGGUAACUUCCACAAAGCUGUGAACGGUCUGAGAGACAAGGCAAGAAGGCCCUUCUAUGUCAUCAAAAGGAACAUAAAAUUCGACAUACCAAUUAGGAUCUGGCUAAAAAUACAUUAAUCAGUUAUUGAACCCAUUGCCCUUUAUGGUUGUGAGGUCUGGGAACCGCUCACCAAAUGGGACAAACACCAAAUUGAGACUCAGCAUGCAGAAUUCUGCAAAAAUAUCCUCGGUGCACAACAUAAAACACCAAAUAAUGCAUGCAGAGUAUAAUUAGGCCGAUACCUACUAAUUAUCAAAAUACAGAAAAGAGACGUUAAAUUCUACAACCACAUAAAAGGAAGCGAUUCCCAAACCUUCCAUAACAAAGUCAUCACCUACAGAGAGAUGAACCUGUAGAAGAGUCCCCUAAGCAAGCUGGUCAGCAACACAAUUAGACCCAACCAAAUCAUGAGAAAACAAAAAGAUAAUUACUUGACACAUUGGAAAGAAUCAAGAAAAAAACUGAGCAAACUAGAAUGUUAUUUGGCCCUGAACGGAGUACACAGUGGCAGAAUACCUGACCAAUGUGACUGACCCAAACUUAAGGAAAGCUUUGACUAUGUACAGACUCAGUGAGCAUAGCCUUGCUAUUGAGAAAGGCCGCCGUAGGCAGACCUGGCUCUCAAGAGAAGACAGGCUAUGUGCACACUCCCCAGAAAAUGAGGUGGAAACUGAGCUACACUUCCUAACCUCCUGCCAAAUGUAUGACCAUAUUAGAGACAGAUAUUUCCCUCAGAUUAUACAGACCCACAAAGAAUUUGAAAACAAACCCAAUUUCGAUAAACCCCCAUGUCUACUGGGUAAAAUACCACAGUGUGCCAUCACAGCAGCACAAUUUGUGACCUGUUGCCACAAGAAAAGGGCAACCAGUGAAGAACAAACACCAUUGUAAAUACAACUCAUAUUUAUGUUUAUUUAUCUUCCCUUUUGUACUUUAACUAUUUGCACAUAAUAUGACAUUUGAAAUGUCUUUAUUAUUUUGGAACUUUUGUGAGUGUAAUGUUUACUGUUACAUUCUAUUGUCUAUUUCUACUUC